rnacentral:tRNA from 1 species
GCCAGUUUGGCCCAGUGGAUAAGGCACCUGACUAGAAACCAGGAGAUGCUGAAUUCUAGUUUCAAUUUAGCC